AUUGAACGCUGGCGGCAGGCCUAACACAUGCAAGUCGAGCGAGCGGCGGACGGGUGAGUAAUGUCUGGGAAACUGCCUGAUGGAGGGGGAUCACUACUGGAAACGGUAGCUAAUACCGCAUAACAUCCGAAGUGCCCAGCUGGGAUUAGCUAGUAGGUGGGGUAACGGCUCACCUAGGCGACGAUCCCUAGCUGGUCUGAGAGGAUGACCAGCAACAUUGGACAUGAGACACGUCCCAUACUCCUACGGGAGGCAGCAGUGGGGAAUAUUGCACAAUGGGCGCAAGCCUGAUGCAGCCAUGCCGCGUGUGUGAAGAAGGCCUUCGGGUUGUAAAGCACUUUCAGCGGGGAGGCGUUACCCGCAGAAGAAGCACCGGCUAACUCCGUGCCAGCAGCCGCGGUAAUAC
rnacentral:rRNA from 1 species